AACAAGGAUUCCCCUAGUAACUGCGAGUGAAGCGGGAAAAGCUCAAAUUUAAAAUCUGGCGGUCUCUGGCCGUCCGAGUUGUAAUCUAGAGAAGUAAUGCCCGUGCUGGACCGUGUAUAAGUCUCCUGGGAUGGRGCGUCAUAGAGGGUGAGAAUCCCGUCUUUGACACGGACUACCAGURCAUUGUGGUAUGCUCUCAAAGAGUCGAGUUGUUUGGGAAUGCAGCUCAAAAUGGGUGGUAAAUUCCAUCUAAAGCUAAAUAUUGGCGAGAGACCGAUAGCGAACAAGUACCGUGAGGGAAAGAUGAAAAGAACUUUGGAAAGAGAGUUAAACAGUACGUGAAAUUGCUGAAAGGGAAACGCUUGAAGUCAGUCGCGUUGGCCRGGGAUCAGCCUUGCUUUUGCAUGGUGUACUUUCUGGUUGACGGGUCAGCAUCAAUUUUGACCGCUGGAAAAAGNCCUGGGGAAUGUGGCAGCUUCGGCUGUGUUAUAGCCCCUNGUUGCAUACAGUGGUUGGGAUUGAGGAACUCAGCACGCCGCAAGGCCGGGUUUCGCCACGUUCGUGCUUAGGAUGCUG
rnacentral:rRNA from 1 species